AUGAUUGCAGAUGAUUGCCACAUUCUGUUCAGCAAGAACCGAGCACCCACAAAUGGACACAAGGCCAGGUCAGUGGAAGACCCUAGCAACAUGGUGACCAGAAGGUCUGUUACAUUUCCCAGAAUGGUUCCCAGCGCUGGAGAUAAUUCCUUUUCGGAGAACCUACAUUUCUCACCUGCUGAUUGCAAUUAGCCACUGCCAGCUGGGGCCUGGUGUGCAGCUGAAAAGCUAACAAGAAGUGGAGACCACGCGGAACCCAGGCAGGGCAGAGGAUGUGAAUAAAUAAGGAAUAGUGCCCGUGUGCA
rnacentral:lncRNA from 12 species